UACGUAGGUGGCAAGCGUUGUCCGGAUUUACUGGGCGUAAAAGGGCUCGUAGGCGGCCAACUAAGUCGGAUGUGAAAUCCCCGGGCUCAACCCGGGAACUGCGUCCGAUACUGGGAGGCUUGAAUCCGGGAGAGGGAUGUGGAAUUCCAGGUGUAGCGGUGAAAUGCGUAGAUAUCUGGAGGAACACCGGUGGCGAAGGCGGCAUCCUGGACCGGUAUUGACGCUGAGGCGCGAAAGCCAGGGGAGCAAACGGG
rnacentral:rRNA from 1 species